UCCUCCCCUUGCUUUCUGCUAAGUGGGCCAGAUAGAAAUAUAUGCAAAGAGGACAUAUACAUACGCAGGCAAAACCUGGUCACACCCAGGACACAACUCUCAUGUCUGUAGUCUUGGGGUUUUCAAUGAAGCAACAGCAGUAAGAUCCCUGCCAGUUACCAGUCCCGGGGUCUAGUAAUGCUCCACACGUGAACACAGUGUCAAAAAUAAAGCAGGCAGGUGCUCAGAGAACCGGAUGUCAAAGAUCCAAAGUCCCCAUUCGAGAAGUUCAACCUGGGGGAAUGGAGAUACUGCUCAGAUGGGCUCUGAAAUCCCUAUGACAUCCACUCAGGAGAGGCAUGUGUGUCUGUUCUCAUGACUGAACACUGAUUGUUCCACCCAGUGUCGCUUCGGUGGAGCCCUGAUGAUGCUCUCAUCAGCGUGCAGUGGACAUGUUGAUGAAAGACCUCGACAACAGGUGUAAGAGACACCAGACGUUUCCAUACCACAAACACCGGACAGGAACAAAAGACCAGCUAUCCCAGAAUGUGACCAGCACCCAGCUUCCUCAG